rnacentral:misc_RNA from 1 species
UUGAAAUUCAUUGAGGGAAGAUAGAAUAGUCUAGGAUUGUCGCUGGCUCUCUACAUGUGUGCAUGUGCACGUCCUUGCUAUCUCUGUCGACCUUUCAACAUACACACACCUGUGCACCUAUUGUAGGUCCUCGCAAGAGGAUCUAUGUAUUUUCACUUCACAACCCUAUCGUAUGUCCAUAGAAUGUUAUCUCAAAGACCUUCCGAGCUUGAUUGAUCGGUUGGUCAAUGAAAUAAAAAUCAUAUA